AUGUUUUGUGUCACACUGUCACUUAUUCAUUCACAUGGAUUUAGUUCCUCUUCUCAUUGACGAAUCUAAAGCUUAAACACUUUGUGUUAUGUAUUUCAGAUAUGCAAUGACAGGAACGUUGAGCUCAAAGAGCGAUGUGUACAGUUUUGGCGUUGUUCUGCUGGAGCUCCUUACGGGUCGUAAACCAGUAGAUCAUACCUUACCACGUGGACAACAAAGUCUAGUGACAUGGGUAAUGAUUAGUUUUAGUGCAAUCUUCUCUGCUUCUAAUUCUGAUUUACUGCAUUGACAAGAAUGGCUUUAAAGAAGACCAAUUUUUUGAUAAACUAAUAUAGUCUGUUCAAAAUGACAAAAAUGGGGUCAAAACCUCAAAGAAACUUGGAAUAAAAAUCCCUCCUUAGGCCAAUAGAAUUGAAACUAAAGAUGCUGGAAAAGCCAGAAUUUUGUCCGAAUAGAUUAAUGCGACUCUAAAUGUUUCCUAGAAAUAAAAUACUGUUUCUCAAUAAUAAAGUGUUGCGUGUUGUCUCAGGCAACCCCUAAACUAAGUGAAGACAAAGUGAAGCUAUGCGUUGAUGCAAGACUACUCGGAGAGUACCCUCCCAAAGCUGUUGGCAAGGUAUUAAUCUCAAAAUUGCUUCCCUCUCAUUGUUUCAUUAGAGCAUAAAAGAUUUAACUUAGUGUAUAACUUAGAAGACUAGUUUAUCUUCUGAGCUCUAACAUUAGAACCUAAGUAGCGAAACCAAAGUUCUGAUGUUACCUAUUCUUGCAAAAGGCCAAACAAAACAAGUGAUAAUCGCUCUCCGCAUUCAUCUACGAUUGAAACAUUUCAUGAGUCUGAUUUUAUUUGCCAUAUGAUACGAUAUAAUGAUCAGCUAGCUGCGGUGGCUGCACUCUGUGUGCAAUAUGAGGCAAAUUUUAGACCAAACAUGAGCAUUGUGGUGAAGGCACUUCAGCCUCUUUUAAACCCUCCUCGUUCUGCUCCUCAGACUCCACAUAGGAACCCCUACUGAUCAAAAUAUUCAAUCCCCCAUAUCUCAUCUUCUUCAUGAUAUUAUUCAUUUUAUUCUGUAUUUGUGUAAAUUUCUGGGACCUUUUUAUCUCAUUAACUCUUCAUUCAAGUCCCACUUUUCAAGACAUGUAUAUCAUUAUAUUUUAUGUUUCCUGUGAUUUCAGAAAACUUAUUACUAAAUUCUGAUACUACAUUUUCAUUGAGAUGAUGUUUUAGCUCCAGGCCUGGAUAUUAAUCAUAUCAUAAUAGGAAUUUGCAGUACAAGUUAAAAAAAAAUAAACAGAAAAUCAAGGAGAUGAUGAAGGAGAUGUAUGUAUGGACGACGAUGAAGUUGCUAUGCGAUGCGACUCAGUGCUAUUGCUGUUUGGGGGAUUUUGACUGCGAUCCAUUGAAUGGGUAUUCUAAGUAUUUGACCCAUAUUAGACUUGUUCCAAGUAAGUACCAACAAGGCAACAAUGGUCAUCUAGUUAUUUAAAAAGUGGCUAAGGAUCAUUAGACAUUUUCAAAAUUCUUAUCUAAAAGGGUAAACAACUAUCAAAGACUCGACUCUCAUUAGAGAAUUUCAAGUUUUCUCUUUCUCUUGCUUUCCUUUCGAAGUUUUUUCUUGUAGCAAAAGGUAAAUGCUUCUUCUUCCUCUGUUACGAGUUUCCCUUUUGGUACUUUGCUUGAAUAUCAAACCUUUACAAAAAGGAACUUCCUUUCGAGGGUUAAAAAGGAGUUGAUUGUUUCUAACUUUUCAAGUUUGAAAUCCGAAUCGCUAGUUUAUAUCUCGUUGACUUGUGAAAAUUCUAGGUUUACGGAACAUAAUGUCUCAGUUGUUCGUGUUUGAUAAUUUAAUGGGUUGAAUAAUAUAGAGAGAUAAGAUCAUUGAUCUUACCAUUUUACUCUCUUCUCUUAGAUAGGCAAAUCUUGUUUUUAAAACUGUUUGUUGUCUAUGUAACCUUGUUUAUAUAUACACUUUUAUAAGCAAGAGAUAGAAACUUAAGCCGCUAGAAUCUCAGUCUUCACGAAUGUUUUUUUUGACACUUCAUUAAUAUAUUUUUUGCAUGUCACUGUGCAUGCAUAAAGUUUGGUGCAAACAGUUCAUUAGAGUUCGGUGUCUGAACAAUCUCUAUGUUAUCAAUAAGAUUGAGAAGCUGCUCAAACCUCUCUUUUUUUUUAUACCUUUUGUUCACAUUUUGUUUUCUUUAUACACUAUUACAGUUAAGUUAGCUCGUCUGAGAAAAGGGUGUAAUGGGCUGUUUCUGUUUUGGAGGCCACCAUCAAAGAGCAGAUUCAUCCAUGAACCAGCCAGUAAUUCACAUGCAGCCUAUUGCUGUACCGGCCAUUCCAGUGGAUGAAUUGAAAGAUAUAACCGAUAACUUUAGUUCAGAGGUAUUAAUCGGUGAGGGUUCAUAUGACAAAUUGUUUUACGGUGUUCUUAAAAGCGGUAAAGAAGCUGCCAUCAAGAAACUUUACCCUACUAAGCAUUCAGAUCAAGAAUUUCUUUCCCAGGUAGAUACUAUAGAGUACAUCAUUUCAGUUUUUAUGGGCCAUCAUCACUUGCUUAAAUGAUCCAGCAUCAAACCACUCCUUUGGAAAUUUUCUGUCUACUUUUUUCUUUUUUGUUAAUAAUAUAGAAAAUUAUAACAGGUAUCAAUGGUUUCAAGAGUGCAACACGAGAAUGUUGUUGCACUUAUGGGUUAUUGUGUUGAUGGCCCUCUCCGUGUUCUUGCUUAUGAAUAUGCUCCUAAAGGGUCUCUUCAUGAUGUUCUUCACGGUGAGUGAUUAACGUAAACCAUCGCUUGCCACUCGGAUACGGAUCAGUCACUCAAUAAUUAUUCAUCUAAAAACUAACAUACAAGAGGAAAAAAAACUAUACAAUGUGGUGUCUCUUUGGUGCAGGUCAAAAUGGUGUCACAGGAGCACUACAAGGUCCUGUUUUGACGUGGCAACAAAGAGUCAAAAUCGCUGUUGGUGUAGCCAGAGGACUUGAGUACUUGCAUAAGAAAGUGAACCCUCAGGUUAUCCACCGAGAGAUCAGAUCCAGCAACAUACUUCUGUUUGAUGAUGAUGUUGCCAAAAUUGGUGAAUUUUAUCUGUAUUAUCAAUAUCAAUCCCCUGACAUGGCUGCUCGCGUUCAUUUAAGUUGUCUGGAUCGUCUGCUACUAAGAUUACUUCCUUUUCACUGUCCAGAGUAAUUCCCUUUUAAAUAUGUUCUUUAUCUUGAACAGCAGAUUAAUCUAGGGGCUACACGUCUUCUGUAAACAUUUUGAGUUAUUUAUUUCAGAUUCACAAAGACAGGAAUAUUGACCACAAAGAGCGAUGUCUACACUUUUGGCGUUGUUCUGUUGGAACUCCUUACGGGCCGUAAACCAUUCGAUAAUACCUUACCGCGUGGACAAGAAAGACUAGU
rnacentral:lncRNA from 1 species